rnacentral:lncRNA from 10 species
GUAAUUCAAGUCUUAGAUGCUUUCCUCUGUGCAGUUGGACUUACCUCAUAUUCCGUGCUGGUGAUUAGGAUUGUUCAACCUGAAUUGAAAGCACUUGCAAUCGGCUUCCAUUCAAUGAUUAUGCGAUCGCUAGGAGGUAUUCUAGUUCCAAUAUAUUUUGGGGCUCUGAUUGAUACAACGUGUAUGAAGUGGUCCACCAACAGCUGUGGAGCACGAGGGGCUUGUAGGAUAUAUAAUUCCACAUAUUUGGGAAGAGCCUUCUUCGGCUUGAAGGUUGAUUCCAUGCCUUGGAUAAUAUGAAUACAUGCCUUGGAUAAUAUGAACAGUGCUGCAAUAAACAUGAAAGUGCAGAAUGACUCUUCAACAUAUUUAUUUCAUUUUCUUUGGCCAUAUACCCAGUAGUGGGAUUGCUGGAUCAUAUGAUAGAUCUAUUUUUAAAUUUUUGAGGAGCUUCCAUACUGUUUUUCAUAACCCCUGUACUAAUUUACAUUAACAACUGUGUAUAA